CAGUGUGGCUCAUUUGAUUUAGCGCUGGUGCUCUCGAAAGUGCAUCGGCCAAAACUAGAUGUUUGCCUGUGAAGUUUUUGUCAUUGAUCGAGAAGCGUAUGCAACUGGCUUCCAGCCUUCUUCCUCUUCCUGUAACAGAACAGCUCCCAAUCCAUCCUUUGAGGCAUCUGUUGGUACUUUCAGACUUUUAGCAGAGUUAUAAUAGGUAAGUAGGGGAGAGUGGGGUAAGUAGUGCCAAUUUUGCCCUUAAAGCAAGGGGAUAACAGUAAUGCCUCCAACUGAGAUAUCUACAUAUAGUUUAGGAUGUUGUGCAUCCCUGGGAACAAUUACUUGGAAUCUUAAACAAACUGAUUGAGAAAUACAGCUAUAGAAAAAAAUGGUUUUGUGGCACAACUUGGGGUAAAUUGUGCCAUUAGAGAGAACACACUGGGGUAAAUUGUGCCAUUAAUAAUUGAAGUAAAACAGAUCAUUUUAAUCUCACAAAUGAUAAUGCUACAUAAAAGAAAGACAAAUUAAAAACAAAUUACUUGUUUAAGUUUUAUUUAAAGUUUUAGCAACGUCAAAGGCCACUUUUCUAUAACAAGGCCUAUACAGUCACAUGAACACCUAAUUGAGUCUUGGAAAUAUGAACUUCUGCUCCUUUCUGGCUGUACCACCAAGUUUUGUGAUGUGGUGUGAAAACAUAGGCUACUCAGAACAAAAUCAAAAUUCCAAAAUGAGCACCUAAUCAUCUGCAGCUGGAUCUCUUCCCAGAUUCGGCCUACUACUGAACAUCCCACAUGUCAAUGCUGCAGGGGAAUGUAAAUUUAUGCGCCCUUCUGGCUGUGCCAACACGUUUUUGUGGUGUGGGUAAUUUCUUGAGCACAUCACCUCUCGGGAUGACUCCAUCAUUCUCUCUAAAUGUGAAAAUGGGCUUUCCAUCAAGAGACCUCUUGUCACGCCUCCGCGUCACCUGACUUCCAGCCAAGCCCUACUCAGGGAAUUGCCAGCACCUGCUACAGCUCGUUAGGCCCCCUACUUAACUUCUCUGUGUUCUGCCAGUGGUUGUCAGUUCGUCUGCUUACCCUGCCUGUGAUACUCCUGCUUUUUUUCCCCGGACCGAUCUUUGUAGCCACCUGCUUCCAUGAUCUUCGACCACGCUUCUGCUCGCCGCCUGUCCUGACAACUUGCUCGCCCUUCGACCACGCUUCUGCUCGCCGCCUGUCCUGACAACUUGCUUGCCUUUCGACCACGCUUCAGCUCGCCGCCGGUCCUGACAACGUGCUCGUCCUUCGACUGCCUGCCUGCCUCCGACUACUCCUACGCGCUGUGCUCUGCCACGCCAGCCCGACCGCAGGUCCGGCGUUCCAUUUCCCCUUUGGCAAUAAAGGAUUGUGCUGCA